CAUCAAUCAGGAAGUGGGCCCAGCAGCACAUGAGGCGAUGGGGACAUAGAGACAGUGGACAAUCCUUGGUUAAAGUCAGCCAGACUGCAGCCCUGAUGCACAAGUGCUGCACUGUGGAAUCAGUAUUCCGAGCUGGUUCCUAUGGACACAGCAUUCUUAAAGCCAGCAACAUCAUCACCAGACUCCUGAACAGAAGACAAACAGGCCCUGCGCGUGCUUUCUCGCUGCCCCACUAGAGGGCGAGUGGUGCACAACCGCAGGACCGCCUGUCUACAUGUGGAGAUAGACACACACACAAACACAGGGAACGAAGGACUGGUCAUCGCGCUGAGCAGUGGGUGAUAAAACUACUAAUUAGCCACAGGCUGUUCAUCUUUUCCAUUUAUAGCUGACAGUAUGUGCCUCUUGGACAAUGAAGAGGAUCAUAGGAGAAGGAAAUGCUCACCUGCAGACACGAAGAGGAUUCCUGCACUGAGGAUGAUAUUGUGGCGGGACUUGUAGAACUCGCUGGCAGCUAUACAGAGACCACCCAUGAAGAGCAGGAUGACGCUGAGGAUGGGGAAGAUACUAGACGCUCGCACGGCUCCUACACAUGCAGACACAGAGAGAGAGAGAGAGAGAGAGAGAGAGAGAGAGAGAGAGAGAGAGAGAACACAAGGUGAGCAUAAGAUGUUUUCAGUUCCAGAAUAUUACUUGUUGAAUGAAUCUGUGCAAAGUACAGUGAGAGAGGGACCAUGCCGGAUGAAGAAAGCUGUGAUUUCAGCCAAUCGACACUUUGUCAGUAGAGUAAACAACACUUGCACCCUUUAAAAUGGUGCGGAAGAGCAAUUAGAGGUCAGAAGUCUCACCUAACACUCGUACUCCAUGACUGAGAAGGGCGAGAGACACCAGACCUUUUACAGAUGCCUCUAUUUGCACACAAUAUGUUUGUAGUGAGACUUCAACCAAAAAAAGCUGGCUUCUUUCGAGCCAUGAAAUGACAAGUGAAUGUGCUAAUGAAUGUUUUUAGGACAGCCUGCCAACUCACCAAGUUAUUCAACUCAAUGUUUGAGUAGCUUUUAAAGAUAAAGUUCUACUUUUAAAUAAGUGCCUCAGCCUACACUUUUUGUACAAACAUAAAAUACAUUGCUCCA
rnacentral:lncRNA from 1 species